rnacentral:rRNA from 1 species
AUAGGGGAGCCGCAGGGAAACCGAGUCUUAACUGGGCGUUAAGUUGCAGGGUAUAGACCCGAAACCCGGUGAUCUAGCCAUGGGCAGGUUGAAGGUUGGGUAACACUAACUGGAGGACCGAACCGACUAAUGUUGAAAAAUUAGCGGAUGACUUGUGGCUGGGGGUGAAAGGCCAAUCAAACCGGGAGAUAGCUGGUUCUCCCCGAAAGCUAUUUAGGUAGCGCCUCGUGAACUCAUCUUCGGGGGUAGAGCACUGUUUCGGCUAGGGGGUCAUCCCGACUUACCAACCCGAUGCAAACUACGAAUACCGAAGAAUGUUAUCACGGGAGACACACGGCGGGUGCUAACGUCCGUCGUGAAGAGGGAAACAACCCAGACCGCCAGCUAAGGUCCCAAAGUCAUGGUUAAGUGGGAAACGAUGUGGGAAGGCACAGACAGCCAGGAUGUUGGCUUAGAAGCAGCCAUCAUUUAAAGAAAGCGUAAUAGCUCACUGGUCGAGUCGGCCUGCGCGGAAGAUGUAACGGGGCUAAACCAUGCACCGAAGCUGCGGCAGCGACACUAUGUGUUGUUGGGUAGGGGAGCGUUCUGUAAGCCUGCGAAGGUGUGCUGUGAGGCAUGCUGGAGGUAUCAGAAGUGCGAAUGCUGACAUAAGUAACGAUAAAGCGGGUGAAAAGCCCGCUCGCCGGAAGACCAAGGGUUCCUGUCCAACGUUAAUCGGGGCAGGGUGAGUCGACCCCUAAGGCGAGGCCGAAAGGCGUAGUCGAUGGGAAACAGGUUAAUAUUCCUGUACUUGGUGUUACUGCGAAGGGGGGACGGAGAAGGCUAUGUUAGCCGGGCGACGGUUGUCCCGGUUUAAGCAUGUAGGCUGAUUGUCCAGGCAAAUCCGGAUAAUCAAGGCUGAGGUGUGAUGACGAGGCACUACGGUGCUGAAGUAACAAAUGCCCUGCUUCCAGGAAAAGCCUCUAAGCAUCAGGUAACAUUAAAUCGUACCCCAAACCGACACAGGUGGUCAGGUAGAGAAUACCAAGGCGCUUGAGAGAACUCGGGUGAAGGAACUAGGCAAAAUGGUGCCGUAACUUCGGGAGAAGGCACGCUGGUGUGUAGGUGAAGUCCCUGCGGAUGGAGCUGAGACCAGUCGAAGAUACCAGCUGGCUGCAACUGUUUAUUAAAAACACAGCACUGUGCAAACACGAAAGUGGACGUAUACGGUGUGACGCCUGCCCGGUGCCGGAAGGUUAAUUGAUGGGGUUAUCCGUAAGGAGAAGCUCUUGAUCGAAGCCCCGGUAAACGGCGGCCGUAACUAUAACGGUCCUAAGGUAGCGAAAUUCCUUGUCGGGUAAGUUCCGACCUGCACGAAUGGCGUAAUGAUGGCCAGGCUGUCUCCACCCGAGACUCAGUGAAAUUGAACUCGCUGUGAAGAUGCAGUGUACCCGCGGCAAGACGGAAAGACCCCGUGAACCUUUACUAUAGCUUGACACUGAACAUUGAGCCUUGAUGUGUAGGAUAGGUGGGAGGCUUUGAAGCGUGGACGCCAGUCUGCGUGGAGCCAACCUUGAAAUACCACCCUUUAAUGUUUGAUGUUCUAACGUUGGCCCCUGACCGGGGUUGCGGACAGUGUCUGGUGGGUAGUUUGACUGGGGCGGUCUCCUCCCAAAGCGUAACGGAGGAGCACGAAGGUUAGCUAAUCCUGGUCGGACAUCAGGAGGUUAGUGCAAUGGCAUAAGCUAGCUUGACUGCGAGCGUGACGGCGCGAGCAGGUGCGAAAGCAGGUCAUAGUGAUCCGGUGGUUCUGAAUGGAAGGGCCAUCGCUCAACGGAUAAAAGGUACUCCGGGGAUAACAGGCUGAUACCGCCCAAGAGUUCAUAUCGACGGCGGUGUUUGGCACCUCGAUGUCGGCUCAUCACAUCCUGGGGCUGAAGUAGGUCCCAAGGGUAUGGCUGUUCGCCAUUUAAAGUGGUACGCGAGCUGGGUUUAGAACGUCGUGAGACAGUUCGGUCCCUAUCUGCCGUGGGCGCUGGAGAAUUGAGGGGGGCUGCUCCUAGUACGAGAGGACCGGAGUGGACGCAUCACUGGUGUUCGGGUUGUCAUGCCAAUGGCACUGCCCGGUAGCUAAAUGCGGAAGAGAUAAGUGCUGAAAGCAUCUAAGCACGAAACUUGCCCCGAGAUGAGUUCUCCCUGAGACUUUAAGUCUCCUGAAGGAACGUUGAAGACGACGACGUUGAUAGGCCGGGUGUGUAAGCGCAGCGAUGCGUUGAGCUAACCGGUACUAAUGAACCGUGAGGCUUAACCUU